GGGUGCGAUCAUACCAGCAUUAAUGCACCGGAUCCCAUCAGAACUCCGCAGUUAAGCGCACUUGGGCCAGAGUAGUACUGGGAUGGGUGACCUCCCGGGAAGUCCUGGUGUUGCACCCU
rnacentral:rRNA from 1 species